rnacentral:rRNA from 1 species
UACGGAGGGAGCUAGCGUUGUUCGGAAUCACUGGGCGUAAAGCGCACGUAGGCGGCUUUGUAAGUUAGAGGUGAAAGCCCGGGGCUCAACUCCGGAACUGCCUUUAAGACUGCAUCGCUUGAAUCUGGGAGAGGUGAGUGGAAUUCCGAGUGUAGAGGUGAAAUUCGUAGAUAUUCGGAAGAACACCAGUGGCGAAGGCGGCUCACUGGACCAGAAUUGACGCUGAGGUGCGAAAGCGUGGGGAGCAAAC